ensembl:lncRNA
CAACAUUUCUGACUGUGUUCCAGGGGGCGCCGUAGAGCCCCUGUGCCACGCCCGGGUCUCAGCCUCUGCAGCCUCCUAAUGGCCACAGAUUCUAAGGGGGCGCCGUAGAGCCCCUGUGCCACGCCCGGGUCUCAGCCUCUGCAGUCUCCUAAUGGCCACAGAUUCUAAGGUGUGUGCAAAUUUUCAAGAGUUUUUGAGCAUGUUAAGGGCCCCAAAAAGCCCCCCACAACUUUGACGAAAAAUAAGAAUACUAAACCCUAAAUAGCCAACUUCCUGUUGGGCGGAGCCUAUGACAUGCAGUACGAAAGUUGUUUGGCUUGAUGAGAUCUAUAUGUGUACCGAGUUUCAUACGUCUACGUGCAAGUAUGUAUGAUAUAUGGCCCUCCAUAUUCCAGGGGGCGCUGUAGAGCUCCUGUGCCACGCCCGUGUAUCAGUCUCUGCCCGGACCUAAUGGCCGCAGGUUCCAAUGUGUGUGCCAAUUUUCAAGAGUUUUCGAGUAUGUUAAGGGCCCCAAAAGCCCCCGAGACGUUGGAAAAAAAAAAUAAUAAUAAUAAUAAUAAUAAAAAAUAAUCCUAAGGAAAACAAUAGGGCUCUCGCCCUCCAGGCUUGAGCCCUAAUAAUAAGAAGAAGA